UACGUAGGGGGCAAGCGUUGUCCGGAAUCAUUGGGCGUAAAGAGCGCGUAGGCGGUCCGGUAAGUCCGCUCUGAAAGUCCGGGGCUCAACCCCGGGAGGCGGGCGGAUACUGUCGGGCUAGAGUCCGGAAGAGGCGAGUGGAAUCCUGGUGUAGCGGUGAAAUGCGCAGAUAUCAGGAGGAACACCAAUGGCGAAGGCAGCUCGCUGGGACGGUACUGACGCUGAGGCGCGAAAGCGUGGGGAGCAAACAGG
rnacentral:rRNA from 1 species